rnacentral:rRNA from 1 species
AUUGAACGCUGGCGGCAUGCCUUACACAUGCAAGUCGAACGGCAGCACGGGUGCUUGCACCUGGUGGCGAGUGGCGAACGGGUGAGUAAUACAUCGGAACAUGUCCUGUAGUGGGGGAUAGCCCGGCGAAAGCCGGAUUAAUACCGCAUACGAUCCACGGAUGAAAGCGGGGGACCUUCGGGCCUCGCGCUAUAGGGUUGGCCGAUGGCUGAUUAGCUAGUUGGUGGGGUAAAGGCCUACCAAGGCGACGAUCAGUAGCUGGUCUGAGAGGACGACCAGCCACACUGGGACUGGGACACGGCCCAGACUCCUACGGGAGGCAGCAGUGGGGAAUUUUGGACAAUGGGCGAAAGCCUGAUCCAGCAAUGCCGCGUGUGUGAAGAAGGCCUUCGGGUUGUAAAGCACUUUUGUCCGGAAAGAAAUCCUUGGCUCUAAUACAGUCGGGGGAUGACGGUACCGGAAGAAUAAGCACCGGCUAACUACGUG